AGUUGACAGUUUAAUUUCGAUGAUUUUGCAUAACCUUAAAUGUUUAAUUUCCCGAAAUUAUCAGUUUUAUACGAAGUUUUGUCUAAAUUAAUGAAUAACAAUGAAUGAUGAUGGAAAAGAAAACAUCAGCGAUGAAGGGUUACUCGAAUCCACGCCAUCUGAUCUCAUCGAAGAAAGCAAUGCGGCCGUUCUUAAUUCAUCACCGGAUAAAUAAGUGUAGUUGAAGAAGUUUUGGAUCUUAUGCGUCGUCUGAAAAAUGUUGUGUACGUCGCGGCUGAAAUACUACUUUGUUGGACGCGCCUGAAAAUUGCGAGACUAUCGAAUAACAUGGAAUUUUCUGACUCACUAGUGACUAUACCUGUUUGUUUUAUUUUUUCUAUUGCUAAUACUUAUCAUUUGUAUGUUAGCAAUUCAUUGAUCAAAUUUUUUAGGGCUCCCCUUUCUUAUAUCCCAAGUUCCUAUUCUCACUUCAUAUAGUCUUUCUUUUUGUUUUCGUUUAAUGCCAGGGUUUACUUUCAGCAGUUGCUUCUCUGCUAUCAUUUUUUGUGUCUUCUGCAUCUCCUUGUCCAUAUCCAUCACUUUUUUUUCCUCUUUGUCUUUUGUUUGUUAUUGUAGUUACUGGUUUUAUCUAGUUUCAUUUUUCCCAACUUCCUCGUGUUCCAUCUGCAUUCUUUAUUCUAUAUUUUUCUGGACCCAUUUUUUAUUUCUGUUCGUCCGUUCUGUCAUUCUUAUUACAAUAUUUUAUAAAUUUCUCCAUCUAUCCUCAAAUAAUCAUCUCGGAUGAAUAAACUUUCUUGUGUUUUAAACAUCAAUCUUUGUUUAUUAAGCAACACCUUUCAUUUCUCUUCUUGAUUGACCAGUCUUUCUCUCAACUUUAUUAAGCUUUCUAACGCUAUCUUUAUUUUCUUCUCUUCACAAGAAGUUUUUCUUUGCAUUUUGUAAUUUAUCUGAAUUAUUAGUCAUUAUUCGUAUUUUCUGAACCACUAUAUGUUUUUCUUAUCAUUAUCUCCUUUAUUGAAUGGAUUUUUCGAUUUGUUAUGACCAAAAAUAGUGCUUUAUUCAGCUUCCAAACAUUUACCCUAUUUUUUCACGUAAAAUCCAAGGAUAUCAUCAAAUAUAGGGCGAUCCAUUAAAUAAAUAUCAUGUUUGUAUUGUUUAAAUGAUUCUGGGACAUACUGUAUAUAUCUGUAUAAUUUUAAUGGAUAGCUUCAAUCAAUUGUGAUAUGACUACGAGGAAAAGAAUUUUUAAAAUUUCACCAUUUGCCCCUUUAGAGACCUUAUUUCAAUCAAAUUGUAUAAUAAAAAAAUCAGUUGACAA